rnacentral:rRNA from 1 species
GACGAACGCUGGCGGCGUGCUUAACACAUGCAAGUCGAACGGAAAGGCCCUGCUUGCAGGGUGCUCGAGUGGCGAACGGGUGAGUAACGCGUGGGUGAUCUGCCCCUUACUUUGGGAUAAGCCUGGGAAACUGGGUCUAAUACUGGAUAGGACCAUGCUGUAGGUGGUGUGGUGGAAAGAUUAGUUUCGGUAAGGGAUGAGCUCGCGGCCUAUCAGCUUGUUGGUGGGGUAAUGGCCUACCAAGGCGUCGACGGGUAGCCGGCCUGAGAGGGUGGACGGCCACAUUGGGACUGAGAUACGGCCCAGACUCCUACGGGAGGCAGCAGUGGGGAAUAUUGCACAAUGGGCGCAAGCCUGAUGCAGCGACGCCGCGCGGGGGAUGACGGCCUUCGGGUUGUAAACUCCUUUCAGCCAUGACGAAGCCCUUGUGGUGACGGUAGUGGUAGAAGAAGCACCGGCUAACUACGUG